AGAUAAGGACGUAGAGCCACGCCCUUGUAAAACUAAAAAAAGCUCACUGAGA
rnacentral:ncRNA from 1 species